ACUAAGCGUACACGGUGGAUGCCCUGGCAGUCAGAGGCGAUGAAGGACGUGCUAAUCUGCGAUAAGCGUCGGUGAGGUGAUAUGAACCGUUAUAACCGGCGAUUUCCGAAUGGGGAAACCCAGUGUGAUUCGUCACACUAUCAUUAACUGAAUCCAUAGGUUAAUGAGGCGAACCGGGGGAACUGAAACAUCUAAGUACCCCGAGGAAAAGAAAUCAACCGAGAUUCCCCCAGUAGCGGCGAGCGAACGGGGAGGAGCCCAGAGCCUGAAUCAGUGUGUGUGUUAGUGGAAGCGUCUGGAAAGGCGUGCGAUACAGGGUGACAGCCCCGUACACAAAAAUGCACAUAUUGUGAGCUCGAUGAGUAGGGCGGGACACGUGGUAUCCUGUCUGAAUAUGGGGGGACCAUCCUCCAAGGCUAAAUACUCCUGACUGACCGAUAGUGAACCAGUACCGUGAGGGAAAGGCGAAAAGAACCCCGGCGAGGGGAGUGAAAAAGAACCUGAAACCGUGUACGUACAAGCAGUGGGAGCCUCUUAAUGGGGUGACUGCGUACCUUUUGUAUAAUGGGUCAGCGACUUAUAUUCUGUAGCAAGGUUAACCGAAUAGGGGAGCCGAAGGGAAACCGAGUCUUAACUGGGCGUUAAGUUGCAGGGUAUAGACCCGAAACCCGGUGAUCUAGCCAUGGGCAGGUUGAAGGUUGGGUAACACUAACUGGAGGACCGAACCGACUAAUGUUGAAAAAUUAGCGGAUGACUUGUGGCUGGGGGUGAAAGGCCAAUCAAACCGGGAGAUAGCUGGUUCUCCCCGAAAGCUAUUUAGGUAGCGCCUCGUGAAUUCAUCUCCGGGGGUAGAGCACUGUUUCGGCAAGGGGGUCAUCCCGACUUACCAACCCGAUGCAAACUGCGAAUACCGGAGAAUGUUAUCACGGGAGACACACGGCGGGUGCUAACGUCCGUCGUGAAGAGGGAAACAACCCAGACCGCCAGCUAAGGUCCCAAAGUCAUGGUUAAGUGGGAAACGAUGUGGGAAGGCCCAGACAGCCAGGAUGUUGGCUUAGAAGCAGCCAUCAUUUAAAGAAAGCGUAAUAGCUCACUGGUCGAGUCGGCCUGCGCGGAAGAUGUAACGGGGCUAAACCAUGCACCGAAGCUGCGGCAGCGACACUAUGUGUUGUUGGGUAGGGGAGCGUUCUGUAAGCCUGUGAAGGUGGCCUGUGAGGGUUGCUGGAGGUAUCAGAAGUGCGAAUGCUGACAUAAGUAACGAUAAAGCGGGUGAAAAACCCGCUCGCCGGAAGACCAAGGGUUCCUGUCCAACGUUAAUCGGGGCAGGGUGAGUCGACCCCUAAGGCGAGGCCGAAAGGCGUAGUCGAUGGGAAACAGGUUAAUAUUCCUGUACUUGGUGUUACUGCGAAGGGGGGACGGAGAAGGCUAUGUUGGCCGGGCGACGGUUGUCCCGGUUUAAGCGUGUAGGCUGGUUUUCCAGGCAAAUCCGGAAAAUCAAGGCUGAGGCGUGAUGACGAGGCACUACGGUGCUGAAGCGACAAAUGCCCUGCUUCCAGGAAAAGCCUCUAAGCAUCAGGUAACAUCAAAUCGUACCCCAAACCGACACAGGUGGUCAGGUAGAGAAUACCAAGGCGCUUGAGAGAACUCGGGUGAAGGAACUAGGCAAAAUGGUGCCGUAACUUCGGGAGAAGGCACGCUGAUAUGUAGGUGAAGCGACUUGCUCGUGGAGCUGAAAUCAGUCGAAGAUACCAGCUGGCUGCAACUGUUUAUUAAAAACACAGCACUGUGCAAACACGAAAGUGGACGUAUACGGUGUGACGCCUGCCCGGUGCCGGAAGGUUAAUUGAUGGGGUUAGCGGUAACGCGAAGCUCUUGAUCGAAGCCCCGGUAAACGGCGGCCGUAACUAUAACGGUCCUAAGGUAGCGAAAUUCCUUGUCGGGUAAGUUCCGACCUGCACGAAUGGCGUAAUGAUGGCCAGGCUGUCUCCACCCGAGACUCAGUGAAAUUGAACUCGCUGUGAAGAUGCAGUGUACCCGCGGCAAGACGGAAAGACCCCGUGAACCUUUACUAUAGCUUGACACUGAACAUUGAGCCUUGAUGUGUAGGAUAGGUGGGAGGCUUUGAAGUGUGGACGCCAGUCUGCAUGGAGCCGACCUUGAAAUACCACCCUUUAAUGUUUGAUGUUCUAACGUGGGCCCCUUACCGGGGUUGCGGACAGUGUCUGGUGGGUAGUUUGACUGGGGCGGUCUCCUCCUAAAGAGUAACGGAGGAGCACGAAGGUUGGCUAAUCCUGGUCGGACAUCAGGAGGUUAGUGCAAUGGCAUAAGCCAGCUUGACUGCGAGCGUGACGGCGCGAGCAGGUGCGAAAGCAGGUCAUAGUGAUCCGGUGGUUCUGAAUGGAAGGGCCAUCGCUCAACGGAUAAAAGGUACUCCGGGGAUAACAGGCUGAUACCGCCCAAGAGUUCAUAUCGACGGCGGUGUUUGGCACCUCGAUGUCGGCUCAUCACAUCCUGGGGCUGAAGUAGGUCCCAAGGGUAUGGCUGUUCGCCAUUUAAAGUGGUACGCGAGCUGGGUUUAGAACGUCGUGAGACAGUUCGGUCCCUAUCUGCCGUGGGCGCUGGAGAACUGAGGGGGGCUGCUCCUAGUACGAGAGGACCGGAGUGGACGCAUCACUGGUGUUCGGGUUGUCAUGCCAAUGGCACUGCCCGGUAGCUAAAUGCGGAAGAGAUAAGUGCUGAAAGCAUCUAAGCACGAAACUUGCCCCGAGAUGAGUUCUCCCUGACUCCUUGAGAGUCCUGAAGGAACGUUGAAGACGACGACGUUGAUAGGCCGGGUGUGUAAGCGCAGCGAUGCGUUGAGCUAACCGGUACUAAUGAACCGUGAGGCUUAACC
rnacentral:rRNA from 1 species